rnacentral:rRNA from 1 species
GACGAACGCUGGCGGCGUGCUUAACACAUGCAAGUCGAACGGAAAGGCCCUGCUUUUGUGGGGUGCUCGAGUGGCGAACGGGUGAGUAACACGUGAGUAACGUGCCCUUGACUUUGGGAUAACUUCAGGAAACUGGGGCUCAUACCGGAUAGGAGCUACUGCUGCAGGGUGGGGGUUGGGAAGUUUCGGCGGUUGGGGAUGGACUCGCGGCUUAUUAGCUUGUUGGUGGGGUAGUGGAUUAGCAAGGCUUUGACGGGUAGCCUGGCUGGGCGGGUGAGCUGACACGCCAGGCCUGGACUGCGACCCGGCCCCGACUGCUACGGGAGGCAGCAGUGUGUAAUACUGUACGAUGGGCGCUAGUCUGAUCAAGCCAUGCCGCGUGAGUGGUGAAGGCCUUAGUGUUGUACAUUUCUUUUUCCCGGGAUGAGAAUGACAGUACCGGGAGAAUAAGCUCCGGCUAACUCCGUG